GGAAAAUCCAGAGCCAGUAGGGGCUCAGCAACUGAUCCCCAGAGUCUAUAUGCAAGGAAAAGAAGAGAGAGAAUUAAUGAGAGAUUGAGGAUCUUGCAAAGUCUCGUCCCUAACGGAACAAAGGUUGAUAUUAGCACCAUGCUUGAAGAGGCAGUCCAGUAUGUCAAAUUUUUGCAACUCCAAAUUAAG